rnacentral:misc_RNA from 1 species
GAUGAAGAACGUAGCGAAAUGCGAUAAGUAAUGUGAAUUGCAGAAUUCAGUGAAUCAUCGAAUCUUUGAACGCACAUUGCGCCAGCCAGUAAUCUGGCGGGCAUGCCUGUCUGAGCGUCAUUUCAACCCUCAGCCCCCGCUCGCGGGGCGCUGGCGUUGGGGAUCGGCCGUCCUCGCGGCGGCCGGCCCCGAAACACAGUGGCGGUCUCUCGCGGACUCCCCUGCGUAGUAGCACUACCUCGCAGUAGGGACGAGCGGGCUGACCACGCCGUAAAACCCCCCACUUCUCCAGGUUGACCUCAGAUCAGGUAGGAAUACCCGCUGAACUUAAGCAUAUCAAUAAGCGGAGGA